AAAAUUAAAUAAUUAUUUGAAAGAAAACUUUAAAUUGAUUUAAAUUAUAAAUCUUUUAAUAAAAAUAUUAAUAAAAAAAUAAAAUAAAAUAAUUUCACCGAACAUGAUUAGAUAGUAGGACUAGAUGGUAUGACAUGUUUAUA
rnacentral:sRNA from 1 species